GUGACAGACAGCGGGCUCUGAGUGCCCACAGCAGCGAGACCUCCCUGCAAAGGCCUCUGUGGAGCCCCUGUGCCCCUGACCCUCCUGCUGCCUGGAGAAUGUUCAAGCUGGAAUUCUGUAACACAUGUCAAUAUGUGGGAGUUCCUUUAAAAACUUUUCUGAAUGGAAGGCUUGGUUAUUAAUGUGGAGAUUGGGAGCUGAAUGCAGAUGGAUCAGAUGCUCAUCCCUUCCAAACCCUGAGUGUCUGGACUCUUCUGGAAUAGCGAGUUUGCUGUUGUGUCCCAAGGGUGACCCAAGGCUGGGUUGUGAGUUGCCUUUCCAGGUGUCUCAUGACAGGGGUCUGAUGCUCCUGUAGCUUUUGCAGCUCAUUUGGAAAAAAUGUUGAGUUCUGCCUUCUCAGCCUUUUCAAGGUCAGCACAAUUUCGAGUCAUGCUGCCUUUACAAAUCAAUAAACAU